rnacentral:rRNA from 1 species
AGCCCACUAGCUAGCUCACACAUCAAAAAACAACUAGAACAUAUUUAUACCCCUAAAUAUCUUACCUCAAAAAAACAAAACAUUUAUCCGUCCAAGUAAAGGCGAUCGAACAGAAAAG